UUGGCUUAUGAAUUUCAUAAAACUUUGGCUCGUGCCAAAACUCAUACUCGGUGAUACCUUGCGCAGGGCAUCUAACCGAGUCCGUCAAGGCUGUUAAAAUUUUGAUACACUUAAAAUAUAUUUUAGUUUGAGAAAAAUACAGCCAUUCCUUAGCGUUGACUGAGUUCCCCUUCACGUGGUGGUUUGGCGUGAAGUAAAUCCUAAGCUUUACCCCAGGAGAUACCCUACGCGCCUCUCCGUUCGAGGUAAUAAUAUAAUGGAGUUUACCGUGCCCCUCUAAUAGGCUGGUCCACGGAACUC
rnacentral:lncRNA from 1 species